UACGUAGGGUGCAAGCGUUAAUCGGAAUUACUGGGCGUAAAGCGUGCGCAGGCGGUGAUGUAAGACCGAUGUGAAAUCCCCCGGGCUUAACCUGGGAACUGCAUUGGUGACUGCAUUGCUAGAGUAUGGCAGAGGGGGGUGGAAUUCCACGUGUAGCAGUGAAAUGCGUAGAGAUGUGGAGGAACACCGAUGGCGAAGGCAGCCCCCUGGGCCAAUACUGACGCUCAUGCACGAAAGCGUGGGGAGCAAACAGG
rnacentral:rRNA from 1 species